rnacentral:rRNA from 1 species
ACUCAAAUGAAUUGACGGGGACCCGCACAAGCAGCGGAGCGUGUGGUUUAAUUCGAUGCAACGCGAAGAACCUUACCAGGAUUUGACAUGCAACUGCACCACCUGUAAUGGGGUGUCCCUUCGGGGCGGUUGCACAGGUGCUGCAUGGCUGUCGUCAGCUCGUGUCGUGAGAUGUUGGGUUCAGUCCCGCAACGAGCGCAACCCCUGCCGCUAGUUGAAUACUCUAGCGGGACCGCCGCGAUCAACGCGGAGGAAGGCGGGGAUGACGUCAAGUCAGCACGGCCCUUACAUCCUGGGCUACACACACGCUACAAUGGUCGGUACAACGGGCAGCCAACCCGCGAGGGGGAGCCAAUCCCAUCAAAAUCGGCCUCAGUUCAGAUUGCAGGCUGCAACCCGCCUGCAUGAAGGAGGAGUUGCUAGUAACCGUGGGUCAGCACACUACGGUGAAUACGUUCCCGGGUCUUGCACACACCGCCCGU